rnacentral:tRNA from 1 species
GCCCAGCUAGCUCAGUCAGUAGAGCAUCAGACUCUCAAUCUCAGGGUCAUGGGUUCCUGGCCCACGUUGGGCA